rnacentral:rRNA from 1 species
AUCGCGUGGGGGAACCUGACCGCAAUGCCGCGUGAGUGAAGAAGGCCUUCGGGUUGUAAAGCUCUUUUGUCAGGGAAGAAACACCGGCUCUAACACAGUCCGGGAAUGACGGUACCUGAAGAAUAAGCACCGGCUAACUACGUGCCAGCAGCCGCGGUAAUACGUAGGGUGCGAGCGUUAAUCGGAAUUACUGGGCGUAAAGCGUGCGCAGGCGGUUAUACAAGACAGGCGUGAAAUCCCCGGGCUUAACCUGGGAAUGGCGCCUGUGACUGUAUAGCUAGAGUGUGUCAGAGGGGGGUAGAAUUCCACGUGUAGCAGUGAAAUGCGUAGAUAUGUGGAGGAAUACCAAUGGCGAAGGCAGCCCCCUGGGAUAACACUGACGCUCAUGCACGAAA